GAUGAACGCUAGCGGCAGGCCUAAUACAUGCAAGUCGAACGAUAGUGAGAAGCUUGCUUCUCACGAAAGUGGCGCACGGGUGCGUAACGCGUAUGCAACCUACCUUAAUCAGGGGGAUAGCCCGAAGAAAUUCGGAUUAACACCGCAUAAAAUCACAGUAUAGCAUUAUACAAUGAUCAAAUAUUUAUAGGAUUAAGAUGGGCAUGCGUGACAUUAGUUAGUUGGCGGGGUAACGGCCCACCAAGACCACGAUGUCUAGGGGAUCUGAGAGGAUGACCCCCCACGAUGGUACUGAGACACGGACCAGACUCCUACGGGAGGCAGCAGUAAGGAAUAUUGGUCAAUGGAGGCAACUCUGAACCAGCCAUGCCGCGUGCAGGAAGACAGCCCUCUGGGUCGUAAACUGCUUUUAUUCGGGAAUAAACCUAUCUACGUGUAGAUAGCUGAAUGUACCGAGGGAAUAAGGAUCGGCUAACUCCGUGCCAGCCGCCGCGGUAA
rnacentral:rRNA from 1 species